rnacentral:rRNA from 1 species
UACGUAGGGGGCAAGCGUUGUCCGGAAUCAUUGGGCGUAAAGGGUGCGUAGGCGGGUCUUUAAGUCAGGGGUGAAAUCCUGGAGCUCAACUCCAGAACUGCCUUUGAUACUGAAGAUCUUGAGUUCGGGAGAGGUGAGUGGAACUGCGAGUGUAGAGGUGAAAUUCGUAGAUAUUCGCAAGAACACCAGUGGCGAAGGCGGCUCACUGGCCCGGUACUGACGCUGAGGUGCGAAAGCGUGGGGAGCAAACAGG